GACGAACGCUGGCGGCGUGCUUAACACAUGCAAGUCGAACGGAAAGGCCCUGCUUUUGUGGGGUGCUCGAGUGGCGAACGGGUGAGUAACACGUGAGUAACCUGCCCUUGACUUUGGGAUAACUUCAGGAAACUGGGGCUAAUACCGGAUAGGAGCUCCUGCUGCAUGGUGGGGGUUGGAAAGUUUCGGCGGUUGGGGAUGGACUCGCGGCUUAUCAGCUUGUUGGUGGGGUAGUGGCUUACCAAGGCUUUGACGGGUAGCCGGCCUGAGAGGGUGACCGGCCACAUUGGGACUGAGAUACGGCCCAGACUCCUACGGGAGGCAGCGGUGGGGAAUCUUGCACAAUGGGCGGAAGCCUGAUGCAGCAACGCCGCGUGCGGGAUGACGGCCUUCGGGUUGUAAACCGCUUUCGCCUGUGACGAAGCGUGAGUGACGGUAAUGGGUAAAGAAGCACCGGCUAACUACGUG
rnacentral:rRNA from 1 species